rnacentral:tRNA from 1 species
UAUAGCUCAAGGGUAGAGCACUUGCCUGGCAUUCAUGAGGCUCUGAGUUCAAUUCCCAGUA